rnacentral:rRNA from 1 species
CCUACGGGCGGCAGCAGUGGGGAAUAUUGGGCAAUGGACGAGAGUCUGAACCAGCCAAGUAGCGUGAAGGAUGACUGCCCUAUGGGUUGUAAACUUCUUUUAUAUGGGAAUAAAAUGUUCCACGUGUGGGAUUUUGUAUGUACCAUAUGAAUAAGGAUCGGCUAACUCCGUGCCAGCAGCCGCGGUAAUACGGAGGAUCCGCGCGUUAUACGGAUUUAUUGGGUUUAAAGGGAGCGUAGGUGGAUUGUUAAGUCAGUUGUGAAAGUUUGCGGCUCAACCGGAAAAUUGCAGUUGAAACUGGCAGUCUUGAGUACAGUAGAGGUGGGCGGAAUUCGUGGUGUAGCGGUGAAAUGCUUAGAUAUCACGAAGAACUCCGAUUGCGAAGGCAGUUCACUGGACUGCAACUGACACUGAGGCUCGAAAGUGUGGGUAUCAAACAGGAUUAGAUACCCUUGUAGUC